GAUGAACGCUAGCGACAGGCUUAACACAUGCAAGUCGAGGGGCAGCAGGGGAGUAGCAAUACUCCCGCUGGCGACCGGCGCACGGGUGAGUAACACGUAUGCAACCUGCCCUUGUCAGGGGGAUAAGCGGAAGAAAUUCCGUCUAAUACCGCAUAAUGCUGCGGGGAGACAUCUCCCUGCAGCCAAAGAUUUAUCGGACAAGGAUGGGCAUGCGGCGCAUUAGCUUGUUGGCGGGGUAACGGCCCACCAAGGCGACGAUGCGUAGGGGUUCUGAGAGGAAGGUCCCCCACACUGGUACUGAGACACGGACCAGACUCCUACGGGAGGCAGCAGUGAGGAAUAUUGGUCAAUGGCCGGGAGGCUGAACCAGCCAAGUCGCGUGAGGGAAGACGGUCCUAUGGAUUGUAAACCUCUUUUGUCAGGGAGCGAAAACUGCCACGUGUGGCAGGAUGAGAGUACCUGAAGAAAAAGCAUCGGCUAACUCCGUGCCAGCAGCCGCGGUAAUACGGAGGAUGCGAGCGUUAUCCGGAUUUAUUGGGUUUAAAGGGUGCGUAGGCGGACAGUUAAGUCAGCGGUAAAAUUGAGAGGCUCAACCUCUUCCCGCCGUUGAAACUGAUUGUCUUGAGUGGGCGAGAAGUAUGCGGAAUGCGUGGUGUAGCGGUGAAAUGCAUAGAUAUCACGCAGAACUCCGAUUGCGAAGGCAGCAUACCGGCGCCCAACUGACGCUGAAGCACGAAAGCGUGGGUAUCGAACAGGAUUAGAUACCCUGGUAGUCCACGCAGUAAACGAUGAAUACUAAUUGUUCGGGUCAAAUGAGAUCUGAGUGAUACAGCGAAAGCGUUAAGUAUUCCACCUGGGGAGUACGCCGGCAACGGUGAAACCCAAAGGAAUUGACGGGGGCCCGCACAAGCGGAGGAACAUGUGGUUUAAUUCGAUGAUACGCGAGGAACCUUACCCGGGCUCAAACGACACAGGAAUGAUCUGAGAAAUCAGGCAGUCCUCCGGGACCUGUGUCGAGGUGCUGCAUGGUUGUCGUCAGCUCGUGCCGUGAGGUGUCGGCUUAAGUGCCAUAACGAGCGCAACCCCCAUCGACAGUUGCCAGCAGGUCAAGCUGGGCACUCUGUCGAGACUGCCGGCGCAAGCUGUGAGGAAGGCGGGGAUGACGUCAAAUCAGCACGGCCCUUACGUCCGGGGCGACACACGUGUUACAAUGGCAGGUACAGCGGGAAGCCACCUGGCGACAGGGAGCGGAACCCGAAAGCCUGUCUCAGUUCGGAUUGGAGUCUGCAACUCGACUCCAUGAAGCUGGAUUCGCUAGUAAUCGCGCAUCAGCCACGGCGCGGUGAAUACGUUCCCGGGCCU
rnacentral:rRNA from 1 species